UCCCUGAUAGCUCAGUUGGUAAAGAAUCUGCCUGCAAAGCAGGAGACCCUGGUUCAAUUCCUGGGUCGGGAA
rnacentral:tRNA from 1 species